CACGUAGGGGCCAAGCGUUGUCCGGAUUUAUUGGGCGUAAAGAGCUCGUAGGCGGCUCGGUAAGUCAGGUGUGAAACCUCCAGGCUCAACCUGGAGACGCCACCUGAUACUGCUGUGGCUAGAGUCCGGUAGGGGAGCGUGGAAUUCCUGGUGUAGCGGUGAAAUGCGCAGAUAUCAGGAGGAACACCAGCGGCGAAGGCGGCGCUCUGGGCCGGAACUGACGCUGAGGAGCGAAAGCGUGGGGAGCAAACAGG
rnacentral:rRNA from 1 species